rnacentral:lncRNA from 1 species
GAUUGGCCCAACAGGAUGCCAUGGAACACCAUCCGGGUCGAUUGCAGGUCUUUUUCCCCGAGCCCCAGCUUGAGCAGCGUGUCGCGGUAGAGGAUGUUGAUGUUGCUGCCGCCAUCGACCAGUACCCGUUAGAACCGACAGGUGAGCCUUUUGGAGGCGAUGGUGGGGUCGAGGACGACGGCAUAGCUGCCAGGGUUUGGCAUCACGGUCGGGUGGUCAGCCCGGCUUCACGUGGCCGGCUUCUCAGACCAGUGCAUGUACUGCGAGACCGAGGGCACGGUGGCGUUC